GAACUGUGCGAACGUUAUUCGGAAUCACUGGGCUUAAAGGGUGCGUAGGCGGCGAUAUAGGUCGGGUGUGAAAUCCCACGGCUCAACCGUGGAACUGUGCUUGAAACCAUAUUGCUUGAGGAAGUCAGAGGUAAGCGGAACUGAUGGUGGAGCGGUGAAAUGCGUUGAUAUUAUCAGGAACACCGGUGGCGAAAGCGGCUUACUGGGACUUUUCUGACGCUGAGGCACGAAAGCUAGGGGAGCGAACGGGGGAUUAGAUACCCCGGUAGUCCUAGCUGUAAACGAUCAGUACUAGUCCGUGGGGACUUCCACAUCCUCUCGGACGUAGCGAAAGUGUUAAGUACUGCGCCUGGGGAGUAUGGUCGCAAGGCUG
rnacentral:rRNA from 1 species